AACGAACGCUGGCGGCGUGCCUAACACAUGCAAGUCGCGCGAGAAAGUGGGGGCAACUCCAUGAGUAAAGCGGCGCACGGGUGAGUAAUACGUAGGUAACCUGCCCUCGAGACCGGGAUAACCUUCCGAAAGGAGGGCUAAUACCGGAUAAGACCACGAAGUUUCGGUCUUCGGGGUCGAAAGGUGGCCUCUGCAUGCAAGCUAUCACUCGAAGAUGGGCCUGCGCACCAUUAGCAGUUGGCGAGGUAACGGCUCACCAAGGCGAAGAUGGUUAGCUGGUCUGAGAGGAUGACCAGCCACACUGGGACUGAGACACGGCCCAGACUCCUACGGGAGGCAGCAGUGGGGAAUAUUGGACAAUGGGGAAACCCUGAUCCAGCGACGCCGCGUGGGUGA
rnacentral:rRNA from 1 species